CCCUGGUUAGCUCAGUUUUGAGAGCGCUCCACUGGACAUGGAGAGGUCCUGGGUUCGAUACCUUAACCGGGCA
rnacentral:tRNA from 1 species